AAAAAAGCGUUGACCGGGAAAAGUAAGGUUUCAAUGUCCUCUUUCAGAGAGUGCGGGUAGGUGGAAGCCGCGCAGAGAGCGAAACCCGAACGAACACCCGUGAGCUUCCCCCUGAACCUGUUUGUGCAGCAGUAGGGGCCGACGUGCGCCGCUCGUUAUCGCGGCAGUGCUUUCAACGGGGAGAGCGCACAAAAGUGACUGGCAUGGUUUUAUGCCGGUAAUUUAGGUGGCACCACGGAUACGGCAGCAUAUUCGUCCUAGCG
rnacentral:ncRNA from 1 species